rnacentral:rRNA from 1 species
CCUUUGACGUUAGCGGCGGACGGGUGAGUAACACGUGGGUAACCUACCUAUAAGACUGGGAUAACUUCGGGAAACCGGAGCUAAUACCGGAUAAUAUUUCGAACCGCAUGGUUCGAUAGUGAAAGGUGGUUUUGCUAUCACUUAUAGAUGGACCCGCGCCGUAUUAGCUAGUUGGUAAGGUAACGGCUUACCAAGGCGAUGAUACGUAGCCGACCUGAGAGGGUGAUCGGCCACACUGGAACUGAGACACGGUCCAGACUCCUACGGGAGGCAGCAGCG